UACAUAGGUCCCGAGCGUUGUUCGGAUUCACUGGGCGUAAAGGGUGCGUAGGUGGCCUGGUAAGUUUGAUGUGAAAGCUCAGGGCUCAACCCUGAAAUGGCAUUGAAUACUACUGUGCUGGAGGUUUGGAGGGGGGACUGGAAUUCUUGGUGUAGCAGUGAAAUGCGUAGAUAUCAAGAGGAACACCAGUUGCGAAGGCGGCUGACUGGACACAUAUUGACGCUGAGGCUCGAAAGCAUGGGGAGCAAACAGG
rnacentral:rRNA from 1 species